UGUUUUGUGUAAAUGCUCGUGUAUAUAAACAUUUUUAAAAUAUUUAUUUGUAAAUUUUAUUUAUUAUUAUCAUGUAAAAUAAUUAACUGUUAUAUUUUAAACUUGAUAUUAAAGAAGUUCUUAGUAUUUUGAUAUGAUUAUUAAAUUAUUUUUUACAAGAACAGUGUUCAAAUUAGAAGAUCUUUUAAAAGUCAAUUGUGCACGUAGACAAAUAUUUUUUAAACAAUGUAGUACCAAUAAAUUAAUAACAUAAGUUAUUAUGCUGAUACAAUUCUCUUGUAAAUAAUGCAUUUCAUUGUGCAGGUACAUAACUAAUUGCAGGGGUUAAUGCAGAAUUUUUUUGGAAUUUGAGCUAAAUAACUUCCGGAAUCCUUGCUCAAAAGAUAAAUCGGAGAAAGAUUAAACAUAAAUGAUGACGAAUUAAUGAUGACUGGCAACUGAAGAAGUAAAAACAACAUUAUAAUAAGAGUAUAUUUGUAUUAAUGAAUAUUUGUAUUAAUGAAUAUUAGUUCAUCAACUAUUAAGAACGAAAA